rnacentral:rRNA from 1 species
UACGUAGGGCGCAAGCGUUGUCCGGAAUUAUUGGGCGUAAAGAGCUCGUAGGCGGCCUGUUACGUCUGCUGUGAAAUCCCGGGGCUUAACCCCGGGCGUGCAGUGGAUACGGGCAGGCUGGAGGCAGGCAGGGGAGAACGGAAUUCCCGGUGUAGCGGUGAAAUGCGCAGAUAUCGGGAGGAACACCUGUGGCGAAAGCGGCGCACUGGACCAUAACUGACGCUGAGGCGCGAAAGCUAGGGGAGCAAACAGG